rnacentral:rRNA from 1 species
UACGUAGGGGGCGAGCGUUGUCCGGAAUCACUGGGCUUAAAGCGCGUGUAGGCGGGAGGGCACGUCCGUCGCUGAAAUCCCCCGGCUCAACCGGGGAACGGGCGCGGAUACGACCUUCCUGGAGGGGCGUAGGGGGACCUGGAACUUCCGGUGGAGCGGUGAAAUGCGUUGAGAUCGGAAGGAACGCCCGUGGCGAAAGCGAGGUCCUGGACGCCUACUGACGCUGAGACGCGAAAGCCAGGGGAGCGAACGGG